GCUCCAUGUCAGGUGCAGACACCAGUGAGGACUCUCCAGGAGACACGUGUCCGUGGAGGAGGAGAGGAGCAGUGACCUGGGUUGGAGGUUGGGGAGAGAUCCGGAGGAGGCCUCCCCUGCAGACAGACCUGUGAGCGUGUAUCUUCCCAGCACUGACCAAGGAGAGUUUCAAAGGAAUCUGUCUGUCCCCACACCCUUUCCAGGGAGACAGGAAGGCCACCUCUGAACCGAGCCAGCCUCUGGAGGACCUCACCCUGCAUGGGUCAAGAGUGCCCCCUGGUGGCACUACUGCUCAAGCUGGUCAUUUCAAGAGCAAGCGGUUGAAGGUCUCUCCAAUCAACUGCAGCUCCUGGUGGCCAUGGCCCUACUUCUGAGCAACACAGCACAAACCACCAACCCGCCUCCUAGCAACAAUGAGAAAAUCCAGUAGUCGUCAUGAUCAGUACGGCAUCUCCAGACAUAAGGCAGCCCUGGGCUCACUGCUUCAUUGCUCCUUGUACCAAACAUAUAUUGCCGUAAAAAUACAUGUCAUGGGGUCAUACAUACAUUUCAAUUAACUUCUGCAGCAUAGAAUCCUCUUAGAUAGAAGCUCACUAGAACUCGUGACGAGGGGUGUAGUUUUGGGCAAGGAUUCCGUGUGAACACCUCCAGCACUUGUCACACCUGCUGUCCUGUUUAGCAUAGGAUGGGGUCAGCAAGCUGUAGGGAGACAGGAAUACCACCUGCUGUUGUUGUUUUGUCCUUUGGGGGCCCGCCACCCAGCUCCCAAAUAAUUCACACACACAGAGAACUAUUCUUCACUGUGAAUGUUCGGCCUUUGCUUGGCUUGUUUCUUGCCAGCUUUCCUUAAAUGAUCCCAUCUACCUUUGGCCUCUGGGCUUUUCCCGUUCUCUUACUUCUGUAAAUCUUACUCUUACUCCAUGGCUUGCUGUGUGGCUGUGUGGCUGGCCCCCGGAGGAGUUCUCCUCUUUCUCAGCUACAUCUUCUCUCUCAUUCUUUCUCCACAGAUUUCACACUCUAUGUAUCCUCUCUGCCUUCCAUCCCCACCUAUUUCUCUCUCCUGCCUCACUAUUGGCUGUUUAGUGGCCUCACUCACAGGAGGCUCUCUCCUGCCUCACCAUUUAUUAGACCAUCAGGUGUUUUAGACAGGCACAAUAAUACAGCUUCACAGAGUUAAACAAAUGCAACAUUAAACAAAAGUAACACACCUUAAAAUAAUAUUCUACAACAAUCUGCCUUUUCAGAAAAAGCCUGCCCUUCAGAGUUUGAACCAGCAGCCCUGAAUGUCUGGGUUUAAGCAGUGUCAUGAGUAACACUGCAGAGCUGGUCAGUAAACUGCGCCCUCGGAUCUUAACAUCAUCUCAGCUCUUCCGCAGGGACAGGGCAGCUGGUUCCUGUGUGGCUGGCACUAUGGAGUGCAGGACACUCACGUAAGGAAAGGUCAAGCCAGAAGAAAGAAAACACUGCCUCUCAUCAUGAGCCUAGUCUUCCUGCCUGAAAGCACCCACAGCAGCUCCGUGGAAGAUGGCCUGUACUCCAAAUAACAUACACAGGACUCAAAAGCAGCUGGCCAAGUCCACAGCACCACCACCCAGUAACCCUAGACACGAUUCCUAUUAGCUCAGCCCAGGGAAGAUUCCUCUCCUGCCUCUUCCCCUCCACAGUUCCCACCAUGAUCCACAUGCAGGCUUUCAGGGCCAGCUACCAC